CACAUUCCUAGGACUCGGGACCCGGGACGCUGCUCCAACGGUCCAGAACUACAAGCCUGUGCCGGUGGACACUGGGCCAGGAAGUCAGGGAGCCGGCACCGAAGCUGGUCCAGCGAUUAGAGCCCCAGCUGUGGCACAUGGCAAGUCCAGCUGUGCUGUAUACUAUCUAUGUAAUCCUACCUAGUUGUGUGACCUGGUGAGAGAUGCUUCACCUCUCUGGACGGCCCCUUGCUCUUGUUUAACAUGAAGAUACUACUGGCGAUAUGGCUGGCGAUUAAAUGAGAUCAUGGGUAAAGUCCCAAAGAGGGUGGGACAGGGAGUGAGCCCAUCUGGCAGCUGUCAUCGCAAGGCCUGAUAUGAAAGGAGUUACAGAUUACCAGAUUACUACUGUGCCCAAGAGGAAACUGAGGAGCCCAGGCCACCACACCAAGAAGUAACGAGAGACAAUACCAAACCAAGGCAUGCUAGGGAGGGAGAAAUUGAUUCAGACCAAGGGGAGAAGUGACACUUGAGCUGGGCUUUGAAGGGUGGUUGAGUUUCACCAGGCAGAUAAAGGGGAGCAGUGUGGCAGGAAGUGGGAGCAAGUCGGCAAGAAACCGAAGGCAGGUUCUUCAACCUUGGCCUUCUAAGAAUCAGGACUAGGAAGCUCAGUGUUGUGUUUGGGGAGACUUGAGCAGCCAAGAUAAUGAAAUGAGACUAGUCUGGACACAGAACUGGCAUGCAGACCACCGAGUGUCCAAUCUGCCUCCAGGCAUCCCUUGGGUCUCAGGAUCCCCUGCAAGAUGGGAACGAAGCUUCACGGAGAGACAGGUGUGAAAGGAAAAGGAUGCACCUGUCUUCUUGUUCUUUGCCUUUGAUUAAACACUCUCUGAUUAUCACA